UACGUAGGGUGCGAGCGUUACUCGGAAUUACUGGGCGUAAAGUGUGCGCAGGCGGCUAAGCAAGUCGAGUGUGAAAGCCCCGGGCUUAACCUGGGAAUGGCCGUCGAAACUGGCGAACUGGAGUGUGGCAGAGGGGGGUGGAAUUCCGCGUGUAGCAGUGAAAUGCGUAGAGAUGCGGAGGAACACCGAUGGCGAAGGCAGCCCCCUGGGCUGACACUGACGCUCAGGCACGAAAGCGUGGGGAGCAAACAGG
rnacentral:rRNA from 1 species